rnacentral:snRNA from 1 species
UGACUCUGGUUUUCUUCUAUUACGCCACAAGCCUUUCGCCUUUACUAAACGGACUUCCGUGGAGGAGGAAACACUACGAGUUCAACUAUUUUUGGGAGAGGCUUUGCUUAUUGCAGAGGC